UACGUAGGGGGCUAGCGUUGUCCGGAAUCAUUGGGCGUAAAGAGCGCGUAGGCGGCUAGAUAAGUCCGGUGUGAAAGUCACAGGCUCAACCUGUGAAUGCCGCUGGAAACUGUCUGGCUAGAGUCCGGAAGGGGCGAGUGGAAUUCCCGGUGUAGCGGUGAAAUUCGUAGAUAUCGGGAGGAACACCAGUGGCGAAGGCGGCGAUCUGGGAAGAUACUGACGCUGAGGUGCGAAAGCGUGGGGAGCAAACAGG
rnacentral:rRNA from 1 species